GUACACACAGUUUUGCCCGAUGAACGAAACUGCGCUGCCAUCAUGAUCCUUGGCGUCGGUUAUCUCCUGGUUAAUCGGAUAAUUCAGUCCGACAAACAGAGAGCGUGUACCAAGGCUACUUACCAACCUCGAGUCAAAAAUUCCUGAAGGCCCAGAGAAGUUGGGAUCCUGCUCAAAGACCUUGUAGUGACUGUGAUUGUAUUCCGUGAAACAACACGUCUGGCACGUGCGAACGAUCAUCAAUCGUUCGCCGUCGUCUGAUCGAGCCAGGAACCACCUGCAACUGCCAUGUCGCUUUUCUUUGAAAGGUUCUGGGAUUAGGAAGGGUAGGGACACCAGGCGGCCUACAACAUCAUAUCAAGUUGGAGUAAAAAAAGGGCUCUUGAUGUAGUCAAUCUUAAGAACAUCAAGUUAUGAGCAUGAAUAUUUUUUCAGUAAAUGUUGACAGUAAUAUAAGCAAGCCAUCAUGAUAUCAUAGGAAAGUAACAUACUACUGUAACAGCCGUUUGUCGCAAUGACUGGAGUAGGCCAGCAAUACGUCCAGCCAUAGAAGGAGUCAUCAGCGUAAAUGAAGCCCUUGUGUUCAAUGGCAUCUGAGAACCAUGGAGGAUGUAUGAUCCUGCAAUGGACGUGCAGAUUUAUCCACUUACCGCAGUGACCUGUCAGAUAGGCGAGACCGCGGUUGAAGAACGCAAUUAGCCUGAAGUCUUUAUAAUUCACAGAUCUUGUGGGCACUUGGCAGAUUACAACCUUGAGCAAAUCAAACUUGGUACCAUGUUGGCUACUGUAAGAUUCCGAGUAUUCUGGGCCGCGGUGCCAAAGCAGUGCAGUGUUAAUCGAUGGAAGGGGGAUCAAUCGCCGGGUGUAGACCUCCACGAGCAUCCAGCUGCCGCGACUGUCGACGAGCACCAUCCAAGAUGUGUUCAUGCCGACCCAGUACAUACACGUUAAUGUAGUUGAGGGUGACGGGGAUCGGAUCGCAGUCAAGGGGGUUGAUGCUCGCCACCCUAUGAUCGUUAUGCUGCAUGACACACCGUUUCUGAAGAUCAGGCGGCAUCAGCAAGCAAGGAGCUGGCUUAAAAAGCUGCGGCCUGAGGGCUUUGAGUAAACGGUACAGCCCCGACGAGCACGCGGCGAGCGACAUGGUACUGAGAUUGUCCACACGUGAAACAAUGAGCUUGAUUACCUCUGUGGGGAGCGAAUUCCAGCCACUCUUUCGGCGGACGCUACUCGGUUCUGCCAUUGUUAGUGCUUGGGUUUCGGACGAGGGGGGGGGAGGUGCCUUAGCGGGGAUGGAAGAUUGGACGAGGGGGGGCGCCUUAGCGGGGAUGGAAGAGCGGACAAAGAUGGAGAAGCGAAUAUGUGCUGCGGGAAGUGGACAGGUGAUGAUGACUACAGCACGCCACUUGACUUACGAGAAACAUACCAGCAACGUAGGGUCAUAUUGAAGUCAGACAACUUGCUUGAGUGAUCACAGUACUGGUACUCCCUACAGUACCUACUACUAUGCCCUAACUUGCUUGAGUAGAGUAGUAGUGGAGUAGGACUCUGCUCUACUACUAGCACCGGAGGAAUAGUAUAUUCUAAUCUAAAAUAGUUACAAACUGCAAUGCCCGAGCGUGGAACGACUAUGAACCGCCAUCGGUGCUAACUCCAAUCCCCAGCAAACGUUCGUUGGGAGACAUGGAAGUUGCAAACGCCCGCGACGCAGUUACAGUACGUGUGUAAGGGUGGCGAUUUUGUCAAAUACUAUGGCUUAAAAACAAUACGUGGGAUUCGCCAGGAUUGAGCUCGUGCCAAACAAUCGCCAGAUAUCAUUACUAAAAAAAAGGUCACUACUGGCCCUUGGCGGAGAACAUCAAGUACAAGACGUGCUACCCGUUCACCAUGCCGGAGUCGCUGGAGGAUCACCGCCGCCUGCUAGUCUCGGAGGAGGACGGCAGCGUCUUCCUCUUGAUCGUGGGCACCGGCGAGGCCCGCGCAGGCCGCCGCCCCGUCUCUGUAGUGUGCGUCAGGGGCGACGCCGCUGACACUGACACUGACACGAGGCUGAUGUACGGGUGCGUGCUCACUGUUACUACCCCUCCGAGGUACGUGGGCGGCGACACCGGUUCCAUCAUGUUGACUAGGACUGUGUAGAGCUGGGAACUUCUCGCCGAUGUGGACAUGGAAGACGCAUGGUAUGAUUUACCCCCCAACGCGGUGCACGGGGACUCCAAGGAGUUUCACCUGGACAUACGCAUUAUCAACUUAAAUGUUGAUCAUUGGUCUUCGCUCAGUGUAAUCCGCUGUCUAAGCACGUGGAGACUUCCAUGCAUGAUCUUGCUCUAUUGGAGUAUCGUGCAUGAAUAAAAGUGUAUCCAUUUAUAGUUUAGUCUAGAAUCUUCCUUGUAUGAAUUUUUACUACAGUACUGGUGAAAGACUUACUAUGAACCAUUUCUUACAUCUCCUCUGCCCCUUCCAAGUCAUCCUGAUUUAAUCCCUCCGUCUAGGUGUAUAAGGGCAUGGUUAAUACUUAAUAGUAUAACCAACUGUUGACUAUAAGAAAGUGCCAUGUCAUCUGUAGCCAACAUGUAUAACAAUUGAUACUCAAAAACUAAUUCUUAAAGAUCAUUUCUUGCAAAGCACAAUAAGUGUUAUUUCUUCACAAGUUUUGGAUGCAGGUUGAACAGUUGAACGCUUUUGUUAGCAAAAGAUACCUUUUUAUCUAUUUCACCCGGAUGUUUGUGAGCUCUAGAGAUGACCCCCACAUCCAUUGUCAAAAUAAACAACUCCCCGAUCAAUGCAUGUCACUCUUCCAUGCAACACACGGGCACCUUACUACGCCCUUCAUUUUUAUAUACAAGGCCACAAACUCAGAUUACAUGUACCAAUGUAAAAUUUAAUACCUGCUUUGCAAGUCAACUUUUCUUUUCAUUUACUGGGAUCAUCAAUAUGCCGCCUGCAUGCAAGCAAACUGAGUGGAGGAAGUAGCUGACUAUCAUUAUGACUGCAUGCAUGCAAGUAUUAAACAAGUUGCUAGUACGAGGAAAUAUCAUUUAUUUUGCCUCGAUUACUGUUGGUGGCCUUGUAUAGAUGCAAAGUGUAUAUUCCAUAGUGGCCUUGUAUAAGUAAAUGGAGGGAGUACUAUAGAUUAGUACGACCAAAAAUUGAACUAACAUUAUAUAUAGUAUGAUAAAUGCUAAUGCAUGCCACCUAAAAUUAUAUCAUUGAAAACUAUGUUCAAAUACGAAUCCAACGAUAUAGUUUUUGUUGACAUGCACUAACAUUUUGUGAGUUAAAUCUUCAGUCAAAUUCAAUGGGGGACUAAUAAACCACGACCGAUGUAGUACAAGUGUAGAGGGCGGCGCUGCACGGGAGUCUCACUCUCACCCCGCUCUUGGCGUAGCAGUAAAGCCGUCAUAUCACAAAACCCAACCACUGCCAGUAAUAAGUGGCCUGGUAAAAUAAACGGACAAGCAACCAUCACAUCCCUCCGUCUUUUUUGCAUUUCAUCUCUCUGCAUUUGCUUUCUCCGGUUCAUCUCGCACACUCGAUCCCUAGCUACUACUCCUAGUAUCCCUAUCUACUACUCCUAGGGCCAGUUCUUUUGGCGGCUUAAAAAAUAAGCCGUCACUUCCCCAGCUUUUCCCAUAAGACUAGUCACAGUGGAGAGUAACAUUAAGGCGCCUCACUCAUUUAUUUGGGCUUCUAAACUACUACUCCCUUCUUUCCGGUUUAUAGGGCUUAUCUCAAAAUCUUAGUUUUUCCAUUUUAUAAGGCUCAAUUUGGUUGUUCCCCAUCACAAUUUCAGAUUCCAAGGUGCAUUAAAUAACUGCAUGCAAGUAUUAAGAGAAAAUUGACCAAUGCAUGCACUUUAUGCAUGCAUGCAUUGCAAUUAAUACAUUGGUAAACAUGAAUUUUUGAGGAAAACAAGAGCAUUAAUUGGGUGCUUUUGCAAAUUACGAAAAGUAUUCACCACCUACCAUCUACCUUGGUUGGUGAGAUUUUUGAAUUGAGCCCUAUAAACCGGAAAGGAGGGAGUACUAGUACCUCCGUCCUGGUUUAUUCGUCACCAUUGUAAUUUGUGGCAAAUUUUGACCAAAGAUUUAACUGAUAAAAUGUUAGUGCAUGUGACAUGCACAAACAUUUCAUUAGUUAAAUUUAUGAUCAAAAUUUGACACAGAUUACAAUGGGGACCAAUAAACCAGGACGGAGCUAGUAGUAAUGGGAUUACUACUAAUCUAGAAGCCUAAACAAACUGGCCCCUCAUACUCCUACUAGUAGUACUAGUACUCAAGUUGGAAUUCCAAUUGCACGGCACAACUUGUUAGGCAAAAAAUUCGAUACAGGGUGUAGCAAGCGGUUUGGGAAUUUGCAUGCCUUUCUGACCAGUGAGAUACUCCGUAUAAAGUACGACAGAGAAAUAACCACAGAGAAAGAAGCUAAAAGUAAACAAUCAAACGAGCAUUUUUGCAUUUGUUUUGCAUUGAAUCGUUUCACAAGCUUGACUAGUGCUGUUUUUCUACUUUUACAAAAACCGCAUCGUAAUGUUAAAACGUGCAUUUGCACGUACAUAAGUAAUAGUAGCACUCCCUCCGUCUAGGUGUAUAAAGUCUUCCCUCCUUCUUGGUCACGGUGCACGACCAAAGAUGACUUAUUCACCUGGACGGAGGGAGUAGCACAGUUUGCAAGCAUAUAUAGAGAGAGACGUGUAGUGCGAUAGUAUAUAGUAAAGUUUGUGCUAUAUGCACCUACUUACAAAAUGCGUACAGAUACACAAGGUCUCCAAACUUUCCCUCUUACAUACUUAAUUAAAGAUGCUAAUAGUUCCCGAACCUUCGGGAUUUAUCAUUUGCGUCCAAAACUAAUGAGAUCACCUUACGAAACUACAUUAUACUCCUACUAAAAGCCACGGCGCUCGCAGGAGCGCUUGCGGCGCGCCACGAGUGCCCUGGUGCGCGGCCGUUUCCCAGCGUGCCGACACAACGCCUCUUCCUCAGCCUCGCAACUCGUGAGGUGCUGAUUGGCGGCUUGCCGGUGGGCGAGCACGAUCUCACCGGUGUGGUGAUCCGGCGCCAACAGGUACUCCUCCUCGCUGGAAGCCUGCACCCGGUCCACGUACCGCCAAGCGUAGAUGAGGCGCCUGGGCCCGACUGCACUCAAGGCUUUGGCACGGGCGUCCUCCGCCACCCUCACGGCCCUUGCACGAGCCUUCUGCCAAAGAGCCAAUUGCCUGACUCUCUCGGACGCGACAUAGACCUGCCAGGCAGCUUGCCCCGUGGCGCGCUUCUCUUCCUCGGCCUUCUUCUCCGCCUCUAUUUUGGCGUGCUCUGCCGGCGGCAAAGCCUCCCACAUGGCGACAUCCAUUUCUUUCCAAAGCUCCUCAAGGAUGGGGGGGCUCGGCGGGCGGCGCGGCGUUCUCCUCGUAGCGCGGAGCCGACACGUCCUCCGAUGCGCAUGCUGGCAAGAUUGUGAACGCCGACGCGUCCACCUCAACGCGUCGUGGCGAGGAGUGGAACGCCGACGCGUCCUCCUCGACUAGUGGCGGCGAGGAACGGGACGGCGACGCGUGACCGUCCAGGCGGUGCAGCGAGGGGCGCCUAGGGCUUGGGAGGGGCGAUGCCAUGGUGGUCGACGUGAGAGGGAGGGGGAGGAGAUAGCGAUGAACGUGAGCGUUCUUCCGAAUGCCGUGGGAGGCGCAGUAUUUAUAGCGAGCAGUGGCACGCCUACGUAAGAUAUGGACUGAGCUGCACUGACUUAACUGCAGGUCCAGUUGCGUCACUGACAUGUGGGCCAGACCCCUGUUGGGCCCAUAUGUCAGUGACCCAAUGCACCUGCAGUUAAGUAACUCAAGCAGAGUCCCGGAAGAUACGUUGCAUGAUUAACGUAACAACUACGUGGGCAUAUUUGUUGGAGUAAAUUACGGGGGAGGGAAGGGGUGGAAAUAUUGAUGGUCACAACGGAUUGGACGAGCGCGGGGGGAGGAGAGUCAUGCAUGCAGAUUUUUUCCACACGGGGUGGAGUUGUGGGACCGCCGGAGGGAGAAGGAGAGUCUGGCAGGCAUAUUGUUUCCACACAUGGAGAGGAAAAGAUUUGGAGACGAACGAGCUUCCUGCAGGUAUGGGGAAUGGUGCAUAAUAAGUCAUCUUGCAUGCCGGGCUAGGUAUAGUCUCAAGUCAUUAAAAACAUACACGCCCCACACAUGUUCAUAUUUAAAGUUGCACUAAAUUAUUGCAUGCGAUGAUUAAGGCUGGCCAUAAUGGUGGUAUCUUAGUUGGUAUCAUGCACACGGGAAUAGCAAACAUGCUGAUGUGGCAAAGAAUUAAAGAAGAGAGGGGGGUUAGAGUAACUAGUGUUCAUGCAUGCAUUGGUAAACACAUUUUUUUGUGAAGAACGACAACAUUACUUGAGUACUUUUGCAAACUACAAAAACUAUUCCACCGCCUCUAUCUUGCUAAGAGUAGGUGAAAGUUUUGAAUCAAGCCCUUUAAACUAGAAGGGAGGUAGUAGUACUCUAAUAGUAGCUAACCUUGUUGUGAUGACAAGAUAGGACAUGGCACGCACCUGGACGGAGGAACUAGUCUGCAUUGUGCAUUUAAGUUUUGUCUGAAGUCAAUGUACCUCUACUUUGACCAAACUUAUAGAAAAAUGUAUAAACAUUCACAAUGUCAAAUCAAUAUUUUUAUACUCAUUAUAAAACGUAGUUCUUAUACUCAUUAUAAUCAGUAUUGUAGAUAUUGAUAUUUUUAGUAUAAAUUUGGUCAAACACUUUGCAAAUGGUUGACGGAAGUAAAAAAGGACUAGAGGGAGGAUCAUGCAUGCGGAGUAGGCAAAAAAAUGCUCAUUUAAAGCCGGUCGAAGUCUCAAAGGGCGCGACCGCGCGAGGGAGGCGAAGGUCGUGGGAGGCACGACGGUUGACAGAAUUAAGUGAAGUUACCCACGCGCCGGCAUGGUGUGCGAACAGGCAGAAGCUAUACCGUCAAGCCUACGAUAUGGGUCUAGUAGACAUGACAUCUAGUGGGCCCCGCAUAGUUCUCGAGAACUCUUUGGGGGCUUGCAGCCGUUUAUCCGUCUGGCAAGCCAGCAACCCCACGCCUUUCGCACGCCCUACUCGUCCCCGUCUUCUACUAGUACAGUACCUUACAAUAGUUCGCUCCCAGUCGUCCCGUCCUUUCACAUUACACCAGUUCAACUUCUCCUAACCCUCCUCCAAAAUCCAUGGCCUCCAAAUCUCCAUGGUCGCCGCUGAGUACCAGGUUAGAGCCAUCACCGGCGAUGAGUUCAUCGUCAUCUACACACGUGGAUCCACGAUGGUGAAAGCAUGCCUUGCUCGCUUCCUACGCAUGUUCAACAGUUCAACGGAUGAGUGGGUCGCUGGGCUACCUAUUGAGUACACCACAGUCCUGCAAAGAGAGAAGAUUCUAAAGGAGGCAGAGAAGAAGAAGCCCGCCGUGAUCCAGGUUUGCGUACAUAACGUGUCCUUGGUCUACCACAUAUGCCAUGCCGACGUUGAGUGCCAGGAUUUUAAGAACUUCCUCAAGGACGAAAGAGUGAAAUUCGUUACUGUAGACUUUAGGAACGACAGGGAUGUCCUGGGUCGGAUAGGCCUCGUUGUAGGCCAGCCCUUCGAUAUCCAGAAGGCAAGCCUGGUGUCCUCCUCUCAGCCUUCCAUGCUGACCCUGGCAGCAGCCAUGAUUGAUCCUUCGUACGCUAAACUGAAGAAACCUCACCACGAGUUUCAUCAUGCAUGGGAGUCGAAGACAUUAGAUGAAGAUCACAUCCUGUACGUAGCAAUGGAUGCCUACCUUUGUUUAAAUAUCUACAAGGGUUGGAUGAAGAAGCAGAGCCCAGUGUCCGGUUCAAGCAAAGAAGUGUCGCCGAAGAGGAAAAGGAAGAGGGACGAGGACGAAGUCGAGGACGUGGACUCGGACUCCGAGUAGGUGGCAGUGCCGUCGCUCAUCCUGGUUCUACUGCAGUGUCAAGCGGACUAGUUGCUUAGUUUAUUUUCAAGGGUGUGUUGUGCUGAGGCCCCAACAGAACUAUGUUUAUGUUCUUUCUCGUUAUUUGAACUCUUUAGUACAUACAGUAGUACUAGUACUAUGUCUUACUACUGUUCUUCUUGCAGUUGGUACUACUGCUCGUAUCUUCGUGUUCCUAUUGUACUUAAUACGUUCGUACUACUAGUAUAAUUUGCGUCAGUCGAUUUGUGAAAGAAGUUCGACGGAGCGAAGGAAGAAGACAACAGGGAAGCUACCCCAGUAUCUAUAUUAGGGUGGCAGGGUGCCCAUGAUCUAUCUUAUGAGUGUUGGGUGUGGAAUGCAGUUUGCCGGGAAAAAAUGGAUCGUGCCCGGGGUUAAACGGAUGGCGGGGGUGGGGGGACCAUGGCGGUGGCAGGCGGUUCAAGGGAGGGCGCGGCGGCGGCAGGCGGUUAGGCGUGUGGCGGGCUGAGAAGAUGAACCGUGCAUCAAUUUCGGAGGUUGAAGAAGCCCUUCUAGCCAUCCAUGUUGCAUCAAACGGCUCACAAGAAUCGACUGACACAAAUUGCUCCUUUAGAUUGCAGGAUCCACGUGGCAUUCAAGGUCUUGAAGGUAGAUUCCGUGUCCGCGCCCGGUUUGCGGGCUCGACGCGCGUGCGACUGGCUUCCGCCGCGACAGCCACCAUGCGUGCCUCCUCCGUGCGGGCAGAGACGACAAUGACACGCUAGUUCCUCCUCGUCGGCGUGCUGGAGCACGGGCUCGUCCUCCUCUUCGUACGCUAUGUGCAUAGACGCGGCUCCACCAGCUGCUCGCGUGCUUGGCAGCGCGGCAACAUGGCGAGGAGGGACUGCAGACGACGUGAGCAGGCAAGCCUUCGGCUUCAUGGCACAGGGAUGGCGGCGACACGGCGGUGAUGGGCGAGAAAUUGUUGGCCGGAGCAGGCGGGCGCCGGCAUGCGCAACGGCGGCGGCGGCAUAGUGAUGAGUGCGCGUAUGGGAGCUUAGAUUAGUUUUAUAUAUGGUUGGUCAAACUUAAAAGAAAACCGUACUAGUACACGUAAACAUUAGACUUAGGCAGCGCUUUUAUUAGUUACCACAGCCACGAUACGAAAUCCUGUGCAAGCGCGUGAACCGCGGCCGCGCGGUCGAUCGAACGGUGCGUCACCGUGUCGCGCUCGAAGGACAUACACCGAACCUUAUUGUGUGUGUGAAAACAAUCCCCAAAUAUUACUCAACUUUUCCUAGAAAAGUUCUUGAUGCUACAAUAUUUCCAUAUAUUUGAAUUUAGCUCCAGUUCGUGUUUAUUCGGAUUUGGACGUUUUAGCUGCGCCCUAGUUUUUUUAAUACUGAUUUUGUGUGUCUGACUGAGAGAGAACGUGUGUGUGUCCAUAUGUGUGUAGUGGCGCAAGGGCAAUGUGGAGACGGUGUGCGUGUGAUAGAGACAUAGAGAGGUGUGAAUGUGCAAAUGAUCAUGCAAUGAGUGAGACAUAGACAGAUGCCGAUACGUUGUGUAUACAUGAGAGAACGGUCUUCUAUUUCACUUGUGUGUGAGAGAGAGGAGCAUCCGUAACACAACAACCAUCUCUCUUGAUUCGUCCGUCCCUCGCACGAUCGCAUGUAACACAUGCAUCAACGCGCACAUUUUGACACCCUCACCCGGCCCGUGCCCACCUCAAGGCCCGCACAUCGCUCUCUAUCUCGCAUGCACAAUCUCUUCGUGAAUACCGUGUUUAGCAUGUAGCUUUCCGUCACAUACACACACAUUUCUCUCCUUAGGUUUGUUUUCUCUCAAUAUCUGACACACACACACACAUCGCACAGCACACACACACAACACACCCUCCCCCGAGCACAUAAUUCAUCCCCAUCCAAGGUUAUAUGGCGACUACUCUCGCUUGUGCUUCUCUGCACCCCAGCAUGCACAACACCUCAAUCUUAAAAGAGGGCAUCGAGGAGAUCGAAGACGGUGAGCACACUACGCUAUAGAAUGCGGGGCCAUUUGGAAGCAGGAUGAUGUGACGACGGCUGACGGACUCCUCCCCCACCCUCUCUCUCUCGCACAAAAUUACCAAUCCCUCUAUCCCCCGCACAAAAUGAUCAAUCCCUCAACCCACGAGAUCCUUCCCCUCUCAUCCAUGUUUUUCUAGCUCUCUCAUCAAACCUAUUGUCUCUUCUCCUUCCACGUGUACAGAAUCCGGAUGCACACGCAUCUCACGUAUAUUACAUGUCUCGAUCUUUUUUACAGACCUAACUUCUUCCUCUCUCUCUCUCUCUCUCUCUCUCUCUCUCUUUAGGUUUGUCUCCUACUCUAUCGUCCACAUACAUACAAUCUUUCCCGCCCUAUCUGCUCCAUCUUCGCAAGCUCUCUCUGCACGUUUCAUUCACACAUUGGGAUAUGUUCAAAAUGUUGCUUUUAUAAUGGCUGAUGUAGAGUUAUUGUUGGUUUUGUUGCAUCCUACAAAGUAAUAACUAUGAAAUGCAUUUUGAUUGUCAUUUGACUGGGAUUAUGUGAGUUUUAGCAUGUUGUGAAGUACUAUAGACCUCGUAUACAUCUUGGAAUUCGACAAUGAUUGUAACUAUUGAAUUGUAUAGACCAUUACAUUCGAAGUUAGUAGCCUAAUAUAUUUAUUUCACAAUUUCAUCAAAUGAUUAAUUCAGUACAAACUAAGAAAACAAAUGUGUACUCCCUCUGUUUUUUUAAGUCCGCGUAUUAGCAUUGGUCAAAGUCAAGUUUUGUAAACUCUCAGAAAGUUUAUAACAAAAAAUAUUAGCAUAUACAAUAACAAAUAAAUACCAUUAGAUUCAUUAUUGAAUGUACUUUCACAUCAUACAUAUUUGUAAUGGUAAAUGUUUAUAUUUUUCUAUAAACUUGGUCAAACUUUAGGAAGUUUGACUUUGGUCAAACCUAAUAUGCAGAGUUUACUAGUACUACUCGCUAGUUGCUUAGCCGAAUCACCCAACACGCCACACGGGGAGUUCAGUGUCACAAAAUUUUGAGGUCGGCGGGAAAAUCUCGCGCGACCCUGAUUCGAGCAGUGGGAAGUUACCAUCAUAGCCUUUGGAACAGGCCUACGAAAGACGGUUGGUAGGGGGCUAUUUUCGUAACUUCAGGUUCACCCUACCCAGCCAACCCCACCCCGGCACCCAGAGUAGUACACCUGAAUACUCCCCAUUUUCUAUCCCCACCGCAAAAUGGACUUCUCCACGGCACCGCAACCUUCGUGCUCCUCCCCUUCUACAUCGGCGCACUCGUCCGCCACAGUGCAUCUGCCUCAUCGACGACCUCGUACGCCGCACUAGAGCCGGUCUACCGUCGUCGUCGUACACGGAGCCUCUUCCCCGGCACCAUCUUCCACGGUCUCGGAUCUGCUUCCCGAAAGCUGACGCCAAGCGCGGAAGCACCACCGUCGUGGAUAAUGAACUGACUCCCGUUGCCGACCAUCACUCACAGAGGCCGCCGCGACCAUCAUUCUCCUCCUAGAUUGGUAAUGUGUGUAUUGAAUCACUUAGCAGUACAUGUGCAGUUCCAAUUUUGUUCAUACCUACCCUUCAAAUUUCCUGGGUGCUAUUGUUCCCGUAAAAGUAAUUGGUUAUAGCCUCCAUUGUCCAACAGAAUAUCAGCUUGUAAUUGUGUGUCGCUCCUGUAUCGCGCCGUGCUUGGGUAGGUUUUUCAUCUGCAACCAGUAGUGUGGCAAAUGAUGGAAAGUUUUUUAGAACUAGCAAGAUGCCCAUGUGUUGCACGCAUCAAGAUGCAUUUGUAUGAGUAGUUUAUCUUGUGGGAGAAAAGGAUGAAUGAGGGAAGGCCUUAUUUGCAAAUCCGGAGAGGGGUGUGGGUAUCUUUUUGCAAAAUUGCCAUUGUUUCCUUCCUAUCAGUCAAAUAUAAAUUGGACGGCCUAUAUUGCAGGAUGGCAGGCACAUCAUCAUCACCAACUCUGUUUUUUAUAAGAAAAAAAGUCGAGAAAAAAAGUAGAGAGUAGAGAAGUAGAGAUAAAUAUUAAAUAUAAAAUAAAUAUAACAGUAGAUAAGAGAGUAGAGAUAGCAGAGACGUCGGGAAAGGAUUGCGCGCGGGGGGAAAAAGCGGUCGGGCGCGUGCUAGUUUUGGCGCGCGGCGUCCGGCGCGCUUUAUAAAAUCAAUUGCCCUCCCACUGCUUUGUGCCUUGCCACCGCUCUCUCCCCGCUCUGUGCCUCACCACCGCUCUCGCCCCGCUCUUUCUCGCCUCGCUGCCGCCGCUCCACCAUGCCGCCACAUCGUUGGGAAACUUGGGGAUACCGUGGCGUCCGCGCCCGCCCCUCCGGCGGCUUCUCCACCGAGAUCUGGUUCCGCGGGAUGCACCUCGGCCUCGGCAAUUUCGACACCGCCAACGAGGCCGCCCGCGCAUACGACGCGGCGGCGUGGCGCCUCCGGUGGCCUCAUAGAACAUUGAACUUCCCCAACGUGCCGACGCGGGAGCGGGCACAGGAGCUCGCGCCUCUGCCGCGGCAUAUCAACGACGAGGAUCGUCGCGACAACCAGAGGCGGGAGCACUGUCUCGGCAUCGCCGAGAUGGACGAGGAAGCCAUGGCGCUAUGGCACCAACGCUUCCCGCGGGACAUCAUCAACGAGCGGAGUUCUACGUGCAAUGGAGGGUGGAGAGGGAUAAGAGGAGGGCGGAGCGAGCUGCCUAUCGCGAGGACAAGCGUAGGCGAAAAGCGGACGCUCAAUUCAACAUGAGGCUAGGAGCAGCGUCGCCCUGGGAAUCCGACAACGAUCGGUAUCUUCACGCCUACAGUUAGACGUAGCAGGAGGACAUCACCGAGGAGUCGGACGACGAGGAGUAGUUGAAUAAUCUAUUUUUAUCUAUCUAUGCUGAGAACUACCCUCUACUCUCUAGUCUCUACUCUCUAUCUCUACUUCUCGAUCUCAGCACUGUAAACACUUUUUUAAAGCGCCGCGCAUUGCGAUUCGGUUGGAGAUGCUCUAACAUGGCAGACGAGUGCUUUAAUGUUGCCCACAAGAUGCGCGAGUAUUACUAGUAGUAUAUUUUUCUUGCCAUGUCAAGAUUUUAAAACCACGAGUGCGAACAUGCAGAGGAGCAAUGAAGACCAAACACGGGAUAUUGGGGACAUCUUCAAGGAGCGUGACAAGUUAAAGAGGAGCUGCACUGAACCUGUAAAACGAGCUUUGGUAAGUAACACCCUUUCAAUUACUUUCGUUUAGCCUCGUGUUCUUCGAUGUGUAUAUGUUGUAGUUUUUGUUUCUCUUAAGCCUCAUGUUCUUCGAUGUGUAAUAAGAAGAGUCUUAAUCGUCCUAAUGCUUUCGAUUUUAGCUUGAUGUAGGAAGUGGGUGUUCUCACCUUGUAGUCUGUUUUUAAAAUUUUUUCCUUUUGAAUUCACUUCUCCCAGUUCUGGUUUUCUGGCUUCUACUAAAUGGAUCUGGGUUGCUCUGAGUAUUGAUCUAAAAAAGAAGUAAGUUCAUGUCAGGAUGCAGUUCCUGCAAGGAGGGAAGUAUGGUCAACCUCGAGAUCAUGUUUCCAAAAUGAGGCUGGAUUACACAUAAGGUGCCAGUUCCCCUAAUGAUGUUGGAUUAGACACAAGGUGCAAAUUCCUAGAUGAUGCUGGAUUACACACAAGCCAGGUGGAGUCGUCAGCUGUUCGUGUCCUCGUGGAUCUAGUAAAGGCUGAAAGAAAGCGUGCAGUAGCCCUUGAGAAUGUAGCUGAGUUCCUGAAGAAGAGAAAAGAGCAAUCAGAUGCUCUCUUCACACUUGCCAAAGAAGAGAUGGAAGAAGCCAGAAAUAAGCUAGCAGAGGCAGAGCAGGCUAGGCGUCUCCUGCUAUCUUAAACUGUUGUCAAUACAAAAUUUCCUUCAUAAUAGCUAGGUUCAAAUGUUUAUCCAGUCAGCAUACCUGUUGUGAUGUCCGUGCAUCUACUAAUGUGGCACAAAAUAUAUAUUUUCGGGUCAUGUAAUAACAGCAAUUACUUUCCAAACAAUAACAGACGAAGCAUUGGACAUGGUAUAGUUCACGCGCAAGCCCGACAUUCCAAGUUCAACUUCCACAUCAAACUCAUGUUCACAGAUAUCUGGACAUUCAUACAUAAUGUCCACAACGAUGAUUCACUUCAAAGCCAAAAAAAUUGAGGAGAGUUAUAAAUAAAGAAAAACCCCUAGUUCCUACUACCAGUGCAAGCACAACAAGUCAAGACCAUGCGUAAUUAAUUAUAUUUUGGUCAUCUUUUGUGUUCUAAAAUGCCGGCCGGCUUGCCGAAGGACGUGUUGCCGGCACACGUGCGGAUUCAAUGAAGGCACGCGGGAUAGUCUGAAGCCGGUUGCAUGCGGCGAGGAGGCGUGUUCAGCCGGGCCUGCAGCGAGUGGGGCCCUCUUGGCCGGCGCGCCGGUUCAAUGCCUGCGCUAUCAUAGGUCGCGUCCAUGUCAGAGCAAUCACUCCCUCCAGUCCUUUUUUGUUUGGGUAUAACAAAAUCUCGUUUUCCAUUCACAUUUUACAAGUAAAAUUCAUGGACAAACUUUGACCCAAAAUACGAUGGGGACUAGUAAACCAGAACGAAGGUAGUAUUUUUUUUAAAUCAAAGAAGGGUUUCCCCCUUCCGAUUUUCAUUACUAAAAACCAACAUCUAAAUCUAAAUCAUAGGAUUUGCCCUAGAACUACCAGGUUCAACAUCUCGCAACAUAAACCCAUACAACCAUACGCCAAGGAGGUACAUAGUACUAUGAAUUCCAUUUUCGCUGCAUACAAAUCGUUCUAAAACUACUUAGUACUUAUAACGCGCCAUUGAAAAUCGGAACUCUUAACCCCGCUAAAAAAUGAUAUUUUAAACGUGGCUACUCAAUCUGUGGCAACUGGCGAGCCACCGCCUCCAAGUCGUUCACCUGUGGUCCCGACCAUCAACUCCUACGGAUCAAAUUAUCACGCGAGCUGACUAUUCCUACAAAGGUGCGCUCCACCACGUACCCGGUACCUGCGAAUGCAGCAAUCGUGCACCUAGGGUUUUAGGGUUUAUUUGAUAACGUUGCCUUUAUGUGACACUCAUGUGUGCGAGACAGCGAGAGACCGACUGCGUGCGUGCGCCUCUUCUCUUCGUAUAUGUACUCCACCAUUUGUCUGGUGUCCAAAAAAUUAUAAUAACUACUAGCAAUGUGCCAAUGCGUUGCCACACGAUCAGAGUAGGUUAAUACAUAUUCACCUAUUUGAUAGAAAAAAAGUCUAGUUUUGAAAUACGUAUAUCACUAAAAAUAUGUUAUGUUUCACUCAAAAUAUAUUCCUUUGGCGGUUUUGAUGAGAUAAGGGACGGAUGUUGUUGGUUUCAAGAUUCGAGAAGUGGUAUAUGUCUAAUUUCUACUCUUACUAGCAAGAUGCCCGUGCGUUGCACGAAACAUCAAGAUCUUGUGGGAGAAAAGGAUGAACGAGGGAAGGCCUUAUAUGCAAAUGUGGAGAGGAGUGCGGGUAAAUUGCCAUUGUUUCCUUCCUAUCCGUCAAAUAUAAAUCGGACGGCCUAUAUUGCAGGAUGGGAGGCCCACCAUCAUCACCAACUCUGUUUUUAAUCCCUACUCUUAUAAAAAGCAUAGUCGGUGAUGAUCGUGUGCCUCCCAUCCUGCAAUAUAGGCCGUCCGAUCUAUAUCUGACAGAUAGGAAGGAAACUAUGGCAAUUUUGCAAAAAAAUACCCACACCCCUCUCCACACUUGCAAAUAAGGCCUUCCCUCGUUCAUCCUUUUAUCCCACAAGAUAAACUACUCAUACAAAUGCAUCUUGAUGUUCCGUGCAGCGCAUGGGCAUCUUGCUAGUUGUUGCAAAAAUCCCAUGUGUGUGUGAGAGAGAGAGGGAGAGAGGAGGAGGAUGGAGUGCAUGUGUGACAAAGACACAAAGAGUGUGUGUGCGAGAGGUAUCAGCUUGAAAUGAGGCGAUAGUGUGUGUGUGCACGAUCGAGAGGGCGUGUAUCAAGAAGGGAAGAAAAAUCUACAUAGAUACAAGGAGCGGGAGAGAGACAUGUAUGUGAUCGUGGAAGCACGAGUGUGCGGGUGUAUAAACCUAUCUAGAGGCUUGUCGAUAAAUGUUUGUGAGAGAAAUAUGAGUCGGGGUGCGAAAGCGAGAGUUUUGUGUGUGAGAGAGAGACGAUAGUCGGGAAGGGACGUGGAAGCAGGAGUUGUGUGUGUGUGAGAGAGAGGGGGGAGUUUGUCUGAUUGGUAAACAAAUGAAUAAUGUCAGUCUGGGAUGGAGACGAAAAGGAGACCGCAACAAAUGUUGUGUCUACAAGAGAGAGAGAGAGAGUACUUUUAGUGGUAUGAGUCAUAUCUAGAGACAUAUAGGGUGUGUGAGAGAAUCCCAUAGAGAGAAAGACAAAGUGAAAGACGAGUGGAGACUCUGUGUGUGGCGGUGAAAAAGAAAGCUUAGGUACCUAGUGAUACUUGAACCAAAAUUGAUCUAUCAAACAUGCAUACUCAUAUGAAUUCACGCGCAUCUAUGUUAUUUAAUAUGUAGAUAUUACUGAUCCAUACAUUUUAGUAGAACAUAAUUUGGUUUAAUUUUUUUGAAUUCAACCUUAUGAUUUUUAUAUCAUUGUAUUUGUAAAUCAUAUUAUACAUAUAAAGGAGCAGAGUUCUUUGUUGUGCUUUUGAAAGUAUAUAUAAAAAAUGAUGUAUAUAGAAUUUUAUUCCAAUGGAAAAUGGAUCCUGCCCGAAAAAACAUAGAAUACAAAUCGGAUUCGAAUUGAGUUGGCACGGUAAACGUGCACUCUGCAAAAUUUGAACGAAGCAGGGAAAGUCGCAGUAACCGCCCGAAACCAAAAUCUGCGAGAUGGAAAUUACUACUGCCUAUCCCUGCCACGCAAAGCCUAUCUGCUCGAUUUCUAUAGGUUUUGAUAGGGGUAGGUUUGUAAUUUCACUCAAACGUGACAUAACUGCCUCUCACCCGGAUUCAUACACGGUGGGCGCCAAAACACAGUGUGUCCUCCGCCGAAAUCGACUCCCUCCCCGAUUCAUACAUGGUAGGCACCAAAAACAAACUCUCGUCGGUAAAUAUUCAGUGUAUGCGAGAUUACCGUCCUAUCCCCAACCGACUAAUAUUGCUGUGAUGUAGGAAAUUUGAAACGGGGCCUAAGUUUGUAAAUUUCCUCGCAUUUGAGACAAGCGCGCCCUAAUGACAUGGUUCCCCCUUCCUCUGUACCUCCAUUUCCCCAUUCGUACUCCGUGGGCGCCAAAACACCCUCUCCACCACAGCCUCCUCCGUCCGCCACCCCAUCCACCGCCGUCCUCCUCCACCAUGCCGGAGCUGAUACCCCGACACCGCCGUCCAUUACAAGAGAUCGACCUCUCUCAUCCACGGCUUCGGACCGGAAUCCUUGCAUCCCGUACUCUCGCUUCAUCCCCGCCGUCGUCCACCUUGUCGGCACCGCUCCUACGACCGUCUCGUCCACCGCACCCCGCCGCCACCGUCUACCCUCCUAGAUCUGCUUCCAUGCCGCCGACAGCCAUCGCUACCGCAGCACCGUCAAAUUCUUAGCAGAUGCAUACACGGCGCCGCACCAGAGGCGGUACUCUUUCGUAUCUGCUCAACUUAUUUAUCGCAGCAAGAAAAUAGAUCGUCACUGCUUUACUCUGAUUUCUUGAUCACUUACUUGCUAGUUGAAAGCAAAUAUUGGUUGCGAAGUUGGCUUUGUCCGGUUUGCACCUUCAGGUCCGCCAUGGCACGCUCAACACUAUAUUCCCAAUGCUUAUGGUUUUCCCCUUUUAUAUUCCACACUAGUUAAAUCACAGUAGACUAAAUUUCAAAAUUGGGUCAAUCAAUUUUUCAGAGCUCGCCGGAGUUCGCCGAUGCGAACGAAGGUGCUCGGGUGGGGACGGUGGUUGUGGGGGGCGGUGGUGGGGCCUCGCCCAACGAAGAAAACUUGACGCGGGUGGGGGCGGGGGUGGGGGCGGGGGUGGCGGAGGAACACAGGCGGUGGGGGCCGGUGGUCCGACUGGCGGCCCGUGCGGUGUUCUGUAUGAGAAGAAUCAGAGACGAGGAAGAAGAAGGGUUAGGAGACGUAGGAUCUUCAUCCAACCGCGUGAAAUGGUCGACUGACCCAAAUGACAAAAGUCACGCGACUUGCAUGCAGACAUGCCUCUAUAUUCAGUACCAUCAUCGUACCUUCUUAGCACUGCUCCUGAAUCCAUCAAGCUAAACAACGUGCCACUCAUAACUCCAAACUUGUUGCUCAAGUACGAAUCUGAUAUGAUGUUGAUAUUACUAAAACAGAUAACAUUUAAUUGGUCAGCUAAUGUUCCUACUUUACUUUCGAAAAGCACGUGCACCACAUAUAGAGAGACAGUAGGGAGUUGCUUUCUUAAUGCGCUCUGGUUCAUCAUGUGUGGGCACUGCGCAACGAACAUUUUAUUAUCCAAAAUCUGCUUGCUCUUAUUUAGCAUGUUCCUCUUCCGUUCUUCUUUAGUAAGUACUCUCUCCGUUCCUAAAUACAAGUCUUUGUAUAGAUUCCACCAUGGACUACAUAUGGAGCAAAAUGAGUGAAUUUACACUCUAAAAUGUAUCUGGAUACAUCUGUAUGUGAUCCAUAGUGGAAGUCUCUACCAAGACUUAUAUUUUGGAACGAAGGGAGUAUGAUAGUAGUACAGUAUGUUCCUUGUAGUGAAGAUGAGCAGGGACAUUUGCAGUGUAGAGGUCUAUACGGUCGGUUGUGAUGGACACUUUGAACUCUUUGGGCCUCUUUGAUUCAUAGGAUUUUGUAAACAUGAGAAUAGGAUUUGUAGUGGCCUGCCCACUUGAAUCCUAUAAGGAUAGCAAGGAAAUGCGGGGAGCUGUGUCGCCUUUGAGAGUUACACUGAUAUUAACAGUACCGCACCUUUAGUUAAAGAGAGCUGGUAUCCGAAGCCUUUCUAGCCGUACCGGCAAUAGUAGCACAUAUAUUCCAGCAAGUUCCACUUUGCUGAUUUUACUCUGAUGCUUAUGGUUUUCCCGUUAUAUCUACACUAUGGUCUGUGUAGCUGCUUUGUGUCGCACUAGCAGCAGUCCACUCUUGAAGCUAAACACUGCAAUGACUUACAAAAUUGGCACCAAGGCAUUGAGUGCCAUUCUGGAUGCAAUGAAACUCAUACGCUCCCCACCUGUUGAUUCUUGUUCAGAAUAUGAUCCUAAUGACUAUUAUGACCUCGAGGAGUCAAAGGCAGAUGGCCUGUCCUGUUCACCCAUCAAGGUGCCUGUUCUAAUUUGGCAAGGUUUUAUUGAUUGCGUGUAUCUUGCAUAUGUUGUCUUGCAUUUCUUCUACUUUGUUGCACCGCCAUCUGCUUAGUUUACUCAUCAUAUAUGUCGAGAUGCCAUGCCCAUCCAUUAUCAAUACAUAUUCCAUCUGUCAUCAUACCAUGUUUUUCCACUCAAAUGUUGUUCUUGUGCAUCAGACAUCAAAAAGGAAGAGGGUGAUUGCCGAAUCUGAAGGAGCACCAGCAAAGUCCUUGAAAAACGUGGUGGUGCCGGAGAAAUCAGACAGCACCCCACUUAUAUUGGCUAUACAACUAGUGACACAAAGCAUAGGACUGACUCCAGCAGACUGUACCCAUACUUCACUGGCGGCACCACUAGCCCCACCACACAGGACCUGCACUCCAGCAAAAGGUAUACCGAUUUCAGUUGCCAUAGCACCAGCCGUACCACAGAAAAAUCCCACUGCAGCAAAAAGUACAGCAAGUCCACCGGCCGAAGACCUAUCCCAACUGUAGAGACGGCCAAUUCCUACAGAUUGGAACCCCAUUCCAGUUAUUCCCAGUUUAAAAGACAAUGCUUUCAAUGUUGUUAGGGACUACGUGCAUAUAUUCCCAUCAUGGGAAGAUUUUAGUGAAGACAAACACCAUUUUCACAUCUUCCUGUCCAACUUACGUGGAAGUGCUAUUAUUCAUGGUUAUUAUUUUCCUGUUUUCUGCUUAUUGAACACAUCAAUGAUUUACAUUACAUUGUUGUAAGUGGGCGAGGGUCAAUCUGGAUAGUCACGACGAGCAAAGCUUGCUUGUGCUUUUCAAGGAAGCAUUGCAGCAGUAUCUGUGUUACCUGAGGAAAUCACACUUUGAUGGCAAGUCUAUAAACGAAUUUCCGGUGAAGUCUCCUGUGCUAAAUUUAGAAGACAUUGAAUGGAAAAACCUUGUUAUGCACUGGCCUCGUUCGCAAGAUGACGUACUGUCUAUGAAAUCACAUGACAAUUUGAACUUCUACUUUUCCGCAUGUGCCUUACGGAUCUUUUUUGCAGGAAAUCUGCUCGAAGAAGAAUUCUGGUUUGAAAAGAACGACAGGAUAUCGCAAAUAUGAUGCCCGCUGCUUUGAUCUUGUUAGUACCUGUUGUCCUGUAUCACUGUACUUGCAUACAUACCUGGUUCAUUAUGUGACAGCAGUAUGCAUGAUAGCUUGCUUAUCAAUUGUUUGCUCCAAAUUAUCUGAUCUGUAUAAAUGGUUACAUUAGUGUAGAAUAUAUCUAAUGCCAAUGAAUUUUUUUAGCUCUGCAUUGUUCUUGUAAGUACUUGCUAUCCUUUAUCAGUGUACUUAUAUUGACAGGUAGUUGUUCAUGUACCAUCACUUUGCAGCUUAUUUUCCUUUGCCCUCCAUUUUCUACACAUCAGAUCUAUAUCUACUCUUACCAUAAGGUUGGAUAACACCGAUGGUACUGAAGAAGUUUAGCUGUGCAUUGCUCUUGGCUGUACCUUUUGCCUGUAUCGCUGUACUUACAUUUAUAGCUACUUGGUUAUGUAGCAUCACUCUUCAUCUUAUCUUAAAUAUUCUCCAUUUUUUCUUAUAUUAUCACAUCUAUAUUUACUCUUAACAAAAUGUAGAAUAAAGUCAAUGCUUAUGAAGAAGAUUCUGUGGUAACUUCUUGAAUUGCCCCCCCCCAUCAGCAUGGACAAGGGCUUUAUAGAGCCUGUCUUCACCACUAAUGUAAGUUUGUCCUUCUCAAGCCUUCAAAAUUUGUUGUGUAUAUUUGGUUAGGCAUGACUGCAACAGCUGUUUAUUUUUGGUGUUUCCAUCAAAUUGCAUGUUUAAAGUUUAUUAUGUAGUUCAUAAACAAAAGUUUGUCCUUCUCAAUUUAUGUUUUCAGUUGUACAACCAAGUUCCUUCUUCAUACCAUGUAAAUUAAACUAUACAGAGCAAGUGAUCUUCUUUUGCACUGCAUGUAUGCUUCUGUUCUUGAUCCGUAAUCCAGUGGUGUGGUGAACCUACCCACUACAGCACAAUGUCAUAUUCUCCAAUCUAUUAACUAUGAACAAUGUCAUAUCAUUCUACUAUUAUUUAAACCGUCUCUUUAUUUGCCAAUCUGAAAUGGGAUAAAUUGACAGCACACUAACCAUUGAUACUUAUGAGUUCUUGAUCUGUAAUCUAGUGGUGUCGUGAAGGUGCCAACUCCUUCACAAUGUCAUUUCCUGCCAUGUCUUGACUUGAACAAUACCAUAUUGUGUUAAUGCAAUUUUAAACUGUGUCACUUUAUUCGUCAGUAAGAAAUGUGAUGAAUUGUCAGCACUGAUACUUUUAUGUGCAAAACCUGUCAUCUGUCUGCUUGUUUAUCUUUCAGAGUGAGGAGGAUAUAAGUGUUAAACAAGCGCAGUCUCAUCAGCUCCCCAGCAGGGCUAACCUUUCUUGAACUCUAUUGAAGUGCUGUCGGUUUUGUAUAUUAUUUUGUCGGCGUGUUUAUUUGCACUGGUGGCGAUCUUUGAUGCCCAGUGUAUGUAAUUUGCUGUCUGCUUGUGCUUUAUUAUCAUAGUGGUGAACUUUGAUGCUCAGUGGAUGUAAUAUGCCGUAAUUUCUUUAUUGUAUAGUCUAGGUUUUUUCUUAUUCAAGAUGCUGCAGUUAUUUUACUGUAUAUAUAUCCUGUCUUCGCAGUAAACCGGCCAAACCGUAAAAUUACGGUACAUAAUCGGGCCGUCAUGCAAUCAUGAUGUAUGAUCCGCAUCAUGGGCCCCGUCAUCUUGGUCUGUUAAAAGGCCUAAAUGUAAACUGGCCCACUAUUAGAUUCGGGCCUUUAAUAGGCCGAGUAAACCGCCGGCCCUCUUUUCGCAAGAAAACUCAAUGGGCUUUUAGGAGGCUGAGAAGUAGGUUGGGCCUGAAACGUGCCGAACAGCUCACGGGCCGGCAGCAGCCCGAAAUGAUCCCCGGCCCAUGAUUGUGCCAAUCAAAUGACGGGCUUUUAACAGGCCAAAAUUGUCUCAGUCCUUGUUUGGCCCAAUCAGAUUAUCGGCUGCGAGCAGGCCGGAUGCAAACCGGGCUGUAGUUAGGCCCAACUAUAUGACGGGCUUUUAAUAGGCCGAAAUUAAUAUAGGGCCGAAAUGUUAAACGGGCCCUUAAUAGGCCGAAACUAAUAUCAGGCCAGAUUACUGAAUGGGUCUUUAGCAAGUGGGCCCAAAAGCAUAGCGUCCAGUUGACCGGCCAAAGCUGAUAUGGGCCAUAAUUUAGCCCAAAGCCUCUUAAAGGGCCGGACUUGAUCUGGGCCGUAAUUUGGCCCAGAACGUGGUAGGCUUUUAACGGGCCGGAUCUCAUAUGGGCCAUUAUUAGGCCCGGAACAUGGCAGGCCAUUAAUGGACCAGAUCAAAUAUGGGCCGGCAUUUGGCCCAAAACAUGGUAGCCAGUAAAUGGGCCGACCUACUAGGGUCCUCAAAAUCUUGUGGGCCUACAGCUGGGUCGGCUCAUUAAUGUCGGCGAAAUCUCGUGGGCCUUUAGUUGGGCCGGCCCAUUAUGGUCCACAAAAAUCUUGUGGGCCUUCACCUGGGCUGGCCCAUUAUGGCCCACAAAAAUCUUGUGGGCUUUUACCUGGGCCGGCCCAUUAUGGCCCGCAAAAUCUUGUGGGCCUUUAGCUAGGCCAGCCCAUUAUGGUCCGCAAAAUCUCGUGGGCCUUUAGCUGGGCCAGCCCAUUUUGGUCCGCAAAAUCUUGUGGGCCUUUAGUUGGGCCGGCCCAUUUAAACUUUAUGGGUCACUUUUGGGCCGGUCCACGUGUCAACAUAUCAUAGGCGCAUCUCGCCCAUUGGAUGAGUGACAUAUGUGCCAAACGUGGAGCUGAAACGUGUUUCCUCCAGCCAAUGAUGAUUUUACACGUGGAAAAUCCCCAUUGGUCCGGGCUGUUAACCGGUUGUCGGAUCCAAAACCCGAUAGCUUAACGGCGUUCCGUUACGGUGGAUGCCACGUGUUGGUCACCCUUGACAAAAGCACUUCUGUGACGCGCAAUUUAUCGUCAUGGAAGUGGACACUUCCGUGAUGAUAAUUUUGGUAAUGUCAUGGAACACUUCUACGACACCAUAGGUAUGACUAUCUUGAUUCUGUCAUAAAAUCGUCAUGGAUGUACAUGCAUGACAGAAAACGCGACCUACUGUAACAAACACGUAUCAUCACGAAAGUGUAUUUUUUUUGUAGUGGCGGUGGUGGCGCGUGAAUACGAAGACCAGGCUCCACCUCCAUGACGAGCUUCGGUGACCACCGCGGGUUGCCGCGCCUUCACCCCCCGAGCUGCGCAGCGUUGUCUGGCCCGGCAAGUUCAAGCCUGACCUGCCUCCGCGCUACGACGGCACCCCGACCCCGCUGAGUUCCUGCAGCUCUAUGAGCUGAGCAUCGAGGCGGCCAACGGCGACGAGAAAGUCAUGGCGAACUGGUUCCCUAUGGCCCUCAAAGAUGGCGCGCGCUCAUGGCUCCUGAACCUGCCCGCGGGAUCGAUCUCCUCCUGUGAAGAGAUGCGCGAGCGCUUCGUCGCCAACUUCCAACGUACUCGCGACCGCCCGCUGGCCACGGGUGACCUGCGGCGCAUCAAGCAUCAGGCAGGGGAAACCCUGCAGAAGUACAUCCAGCGCUUCAACAGCGUUCGCCUCAAGAUUCCCAAGGUGACAGACGAGGCCAUCAUCUCCGCAUUCUCUGAUGGCGUCCAUGAUGUCAAGAUGAAGGACGAGCUCAGCAUACACGAGGACCUGUGCACCGCUCUGGAGAGAUGUUCAACAUGGCGACCAAGUGCGCGAGAGCUGAGGAGGGACGCCUCUCCCUCCUCGAGUUGCCAGCUACCGACCUAGAUGACAAGAAGGCCAAGGCCAGAGAUGUGAAGCGCAAGGGGGCUGUCGUGCUCACGGCAGAACCAGAGAUGAAACGUGGCAGCGACCACCCGGAGUCAUCCAAGGCCAACCGCCCGUUCUGCGCCUUCCACAACAUGCACAUCCGCAACACCAAUGACUGCCAGGAGCUCAGGGCCAUCUGCGACGGGCGCUUCGGUCGAUGCCCCGAGUGCAACGACCGAGGCUAUGGCCGCGAAGGAGGCAGAAGCGGAGGGCUCUGGGACGACCGCGGCCCCCGCCAGGAGUGGCGCGACCAGCCUCGUGAGGACCGCUGGCAGGACCAGCCUCGCGAGGGCGCUUAGAGGGACCAGCCUCAUGAGGACCGUCCUCAGGGCAAGGUCGGGCUCCCUCCACUGCCACCGCCACCGAGGAGGAACGAAGACCACCACCAGGAUGAGGGGGCUGGGGGCUUCCAGGAACCUCGUGCCAUCGACUGCAUCUUGGGUGGCGCUCAGGCCCCAGCCUCUCAGUGCAUCUUUAAGCAAUUCGCUCAUGAGGUGAACGCGGCCCUCCCUAGGCUCAAGGCCACGCACCCGCUCAGGUGGUCCAAGUGCACCAUCACCUUCAGCUCGUCCGACCAACUCAAGUGCGCGACAACUGCCAGCGCUCUCCCGAUGCUCUGCUCGCCCUUCAUUAGCAAUGUCCCUAUCACCAAGACCCUCAUCGAUGGCGGUGCGGGGCUCAAUGUCCUUUCCAUCAAGACGUUCGACCGCCUCCAAGUGCCAUAUGAUUAGCUGCCGCCCACCAAGCCCUUCUCAGGAGUGAAUGACGGCUCCACCACCCCGAUAGGGCAGAUCCGCCUCCCAGUCACCUUCGGCCAGCGUGGCAACUACCGCACCGAGCUCAUCGACUUUGACGUUGCCCACAUUUACCUGCCAUACAAUGCCAUCCUUGGGUAUCCGGCCCUGGCCAAGUUCAUGGCGGUGACGCACCACGGUUACAACACCCUCAAGAUGCCAGGGAACCGCGACAUCAUCACGAUCGCCUGCGAAGAGAAGGACGCGGUGUGCUCCCUCGAGCACGCCUACCAGGCCGCAGUGGUUGAAGACCUGGACAACCAAGGCGCCAUCUAUCCUCCAGAGGCAUUCCCCAAGAAGAAGAAGCAGCUGCUCUAUCAAGAGCCUCAGUAGAGCGGUGUCUCCAGCGGCACCACCUCAGGACCUGCGCCCACGGAUGGGGCGCCUCCCUCUCUCGCCUAGGAAGGCGCGCCCGGUGCCCUCCUCAGGCUAGGCUCAGGGACUCUCUUUUGGAGGGCCUCUGAACUAGCCAAUGUCACGAGGGAAGCGAUCGGGCACCACAUGGAGUCAUGCUUCCCCGCACACUUCCCUCAGGGGAGCACAAGGCACUGGGUCCCAGGUGCUCAGGAGUUCAUCACCAAGACGACCGAGGAGCUUCAAGAGGGGAGAGCCGUGCAUGGGACCGCCGCCCACCAUGUGGUGCAGCUCCUUGUCCGGGUGAGGACGACGAGCUGCGCGUCUACGUCGACAUCCUAGGGCUCAACAGGGCCGCAUCCCAGGAGCGCUUCUGGCCUUCGCGCGUUGGUAGAUGCGAGGGUCCACCUCACAACUAUGUUUGUAUGCCAUUCGGCUUGCCGAACGCGGCUGUUACCUUCCAGCGUAGCCCGUGGAGCGUUCUAGCGGCUCAGGAGGCCAGGCAUCACACGGUCUUGGCAGAGAUGGCGACGGUCCUUCCUGAGCCUCCCGAGGCCCCGGAGCCUCCCGAGGCUCAGGACCCAGGCGGCUCGUGAGGAGCGGCUUCUUCAACAUGCGUCUUCGACUGCUCCAACCUCUCUCCAACAAUGGUGCUAGGUGACAUUUUCUAGUUCAUUCAGCUAGGAGCGCCCCUCGGGCUGCAUUAUCCCCAGGUCGCAUGGGCCUGACCCUACAACGUGUAUCCUUUGCAUCUUUAAAUUUACUCUGUUGGGGGCGCCCCUUGGGCUGCAUCAUCCCCAAGCCGCAUGGGUCCGUCCCUACGACAUGUACCGUUCUUGCAUUAACCAGAACUAUCUUGCCUCCUCCCAUGAGUUACUUUAUGAUUAUCACCUGCCAGUCCGGCACUUCGAUGCCAUGAACGCCGUGCGCCCUUGUGAACCCACCCACGACCGCCUCAUGAUUAAGGGCUGACACGGCGUCUGUGCUCGGGUCCGUCCCUGCAGCGUCGCUAAAUCUAAGAGGCUGAGCUCUGGCUCGCGGGCAAGCUCCCGUGUACGUCACGUCCCAUGGUCCUUGGUGCUUGGUUCUCGCAUGAGCUAAUCGCGGGCAGAUGAUCUAGGGCACGUGACCCGGUGCCUCGCCACCAUAGGAGCCACGCGCGGCUUGUCUUUCUUCAAGAUUUUUCGCAUGAGAAGACUAGGCACGGUGUCUAUGCUCGGGUCCGUCCCUGCAGCAUCGAUAAACCCAACGACUGAGCUCUGUCUGGCGGGCUGGCCCCGUUGACGUCACCUCUUUGGGACGUUGGUGUUUGGCCUUCUCAUGAGAUCACCUCAGGAGAUUCAUUCGGUGUAGGUUGUCUAACCAUCUUGCAGGACCACCACAGCUGUCAAGAAUCAAAAUAAGGCGCAACCCGCCUUGAUGUAGGACCUCGUGAGUCCCGUGCUGGCUCACGAGUACCUAGACACACCUCGUCUAGCCUUGCCGCGCAAGCCACGUGUCAGGGCGGGGCUGUACACGCCCCGGGGGCUCCACUCAGAGGGAGCCCCCACCCACGCACCAGUGGAAGCACCAUGCUCUGCGCUGGCAGUCGACUCGGUUGAGGAGCAGCUAUGCCUAUGCAAGUGUGGAAGCGCUAUGCUCCGCGCUAGUGAUAAACAACUGGGGGCGGGCCCAUGGCCGCAUCAACCUCAGGGAGCCGCCAGGCUCAGUGUCCAGCCUCAUCGCAACGCUUUCCCCUCGGGAGAGUCGCGCGAGGGGGCUGGGCACGGGGGGCUACACUCAGGUCACACCUAGCGUACGCCACCCUGCCAGGUCCCUCGAACCUGGUCGUCACGCGCCCCUCCCGAUCGGGACCUCAGCAAGGACAGGUAUGGGGGUUUGUUUGUGCGUCAAGGGGGACUCCUGAGCAUCGUGGCUCAGGAGCCUAACUGGUCACGUAGCCCCUCACCCCUUGGUCUCGUCCUGGUGAUUUGGAUGACCCAACGGUGGCUGAGGCAUGCGCGGGGCCGGGCCCUGCCGAAGCAGAAUGCUAAGGCCUACUUUCGCAUUCCCUUCCCGAGGGCUGUUUGCGCGUCAAGGGGGACUCCUGAGUAUCGCGACUCAGGAGCCUAACUAGUCACGUAGCCCCUCACCCCUUGAUCUCGUCCUGGUGAUCCGGACGACCCAACGGCGGCUGAGGCAUGCGCGGGGCCGGGCCCUGCCGAAGCAGAACGCCAAGGCCUACUUUCGCAUUCCCUUCCCGAGGGCUGUUUGCGCGUCAAGGGGGACUCCUGAGCAUCGCGACUCAGGAGCCUAACUGGUCACGUAGCCCCUCACCCCUUGGUCUCGUCCUGCUAAUCCGGACGACCCAACGACGGCUAAGGCAUGCGCGGGGCCGGGCUCUAUCGAUGCAGAACACUAAAGCAACGGGAAGGAGAUCGCGGAAUCCUAACAAAUUAUUACAAGACAUAUUGUUCUUCAAAUACCAAACAUAAGUUUUAAUGCCUCCAUGAGGCACAGUGCAUGUUGGAGGAAAUAAAAGUGGAGGGAAGCACCGCCAGCGAGCCUUCUCUUCAGCCCUGGGCGCUGCUGUCGCCCGCAAGGAGUGCCCCUUCGACGGCAGCAUCGUCGUCGCUCGUGCCGUCAGCUGUGGCCGUAGGAUCGGCGGCACCAUCAGCCGGAAGCGCAGGGUCGAUGGCGAGGAACUUCUCAAGCAGGGCCUCCACCAGGUCCUUCACGGCUUCGGCAGCGACUGCUCGGCGCCCCUCAUCGACAGGAUCGAGCAAAGCUCCAAGGUCAGUGCUCGGGUCACGAAGAUGGAGGUGGCUGAAGAUGCGCAUCAUAGCUGAGGAGGAGAGCGCGCGGGCUUCCCCUUCCACCAUGGUGCCGACCCCAUUGGCAACGCCCUCGAGCGCCUCGACAAGCCGGGGGAGCAGCUCGACAGGUCCCUCCUCAACAGUCACCAUGGCUUCUUCAACCCCCUUCCGUAGAGCUCCCGCAAUGCCUUGCGGGACCUCUUCUCAAGGGAAUCAAAAGCGGCACGAUCAAUGGCAAGAAUGUUAGCCUUGGCCUCCAGCAGGGCCUUCUCCCCCUCCACCUCCUUCUCCUACUUCUCCAGGCUGUCACGCUCCGCGGCCUGCGCCCGCGAUGACUACUCCAGCUCGGUGUCACGGCCGGCGACCGCGUCUUCUUGAGCCUUCAGCUUCUCCUCCCGCGCCUCACGCUAUCGAGCCUCGGCGGCGCGCUCGUUGCACAGGGUCUCCAGCUCGGCCUCUGCCACCCGGCAGCGCUCCUUGGUAGCAUCGGCAUCCUUCAACGCCACCUCGCAGGUGGCCGCGGCCAGGUCGGCAGCCUGCUUACCCUCCUCAGAAGCUACCACGACCUGGCCCCAUGCCGCCCUCACGGACGCAUCGGAUCGCAGCCACCCCGAAACCAACUCCAGUCGCCCCGACGCCAGCCGACGGUCGGCACCUUGAAGGUCGUCACGAAGCUAGGUCAGCGCGAGAAGGGCGUCCUCCAGAGCAUCAGGCAAAGCAGGGGGAUCACGGCCCAGCGGUGCGAUGGAAGGGGUAAGAGACGGCAUCGGCACCAAGGCUUGUAGGUUAGCGGCAGCAGAAGGGGCCGGGGGCUCCUGAGCCUUCACGACCUCAGCAGGAGAGCUGGGGGCGAGCGCCCUAGCAGCCGGCUUGGCUAUGAAGAUUGCCUUCUCCUGAGGGUGGGCUCCUGUAUCUCGCGAGGACGACCCGGCCGCUGAUGCUCGGGAGCCAUCACCAUCCUUUCACACCGGAGGUGGGAUGGCCGUGGCAGGCUGCUGGGUCUCAGAGGUUGCAGGCACCCCCUUCUUCUUCUUCACCACCGAAGUUGGCCUAGCAGUACAAAGGGAAGGCAUCAAGAAACUACGACAAGGACGGGAACCAAAGAUCAGGGCGGAGCGCUUACUGGUCCACGGCGGCGUACUCCCUCGCCCUCUUUUGUAGCACCAAGCCCGAAGGCUUCGCGGGCUGGGACACCGGCGCACGAGCCCUAGGGGCAUGCAAGGGUACGGCAGCCGGACCCGCAGCAGCACCGGCCGACGACGAAGCGGAGGUAUCGCCUCGGGAGAUCAGUGCCGAUCUGCUCUUCUUCAGAACCCCUUUCUGCGGAUUCUUCGGGGGGUGCCCUUGGACCUCGUGGUGACCCUGGCGGGGUGUGGCGACUCCCUCACCGGAUGCUCACUGGCCUCGUCGUCGUCAGGGAGGGUGCGGAGGAGAUCCGCCAGGCGUGGAAGAGAAGUCUCCCCCUCCCCCUCCCGUGUCGCCUCCGAGUCCGGCUCCUCCUCCUGGCUGCACUCACCGGGGCUCCAGUGGGCGCCGGUGACACGAGCCCACGCUAGUUGAAAAUGGGCAUGGCGGCGGCGAUCUUCGGCCCAUCUUGGCGGCGGUACAACGGAAGAUGGGUAUCAGGCGGGUACCCCGGGUCCUCCCCGACCAGGAGGCGGAGGGCGUUGUCCAGCUCCUCGUCGGACAAGGCAUCCGGGCACAGGAGGAGGUCGCCCCCCUCGUCCAUGAGCUCACACAAGGGGCGUGAGCGUGCCUGGAGUGGAGCCAGGCGCUGCGCUAGAAACUCCUUGAUGAUCAUGGCCCCGGUAAACUUCUCCGCCUUCGGGUCGUCAGGCUUCAGGUCGGCCAUCAUCUUCCCCAACAUUUGCUCUGCUCGGGGGUUGGUGAGCUUCGCGCUAUUCCAUUCCUCAUGAGGCGCUGACAUCCCCGUCGGUAGUGCCAGCCGAGGGUAGGAGCACUUGGCGUCCAUGAGGACCCACUUGUUCCUAAAGCCAUCCACCUUCUUCCCGGCUCUUGAGAUUGCAUUGCUUCCAUUGGCCGAGACAAAGUUGGCGCACCCUAAGCAUUGGCCCUCCUUGUUCCAGAGGUAGACGAAGUGGCGAAGCAGCGCCAUAGACGGCAUCACCCCUAUGAAUGCCUCGUAGUAAAAGGCAAAGAUCGAGAGGAGAAGGAUGGAGUUGGGAUGGAGAUGGAGGGCAUGAAAGUUGUAAUGGCCAUGGACGGCGUAGAAGAAGUCAGAGAAAGGGGGACCAGCCCCGCGAAGACGCUAUGUAUGAAGAAGGGAUAGAAGGUACUGCCCGCCUCCGGCUUCGCGGAGCCGGCCCGAAGCGCGGUCUCUCCCCCCUCAUUGAUGUCGCCUGCCGUCAUCAGGAGCGCGGCGGCAUGGUUCUUCUCCGAGACCGUGGAAGCGCUCAGGACAGGCUCAAACCAGGCGGGCGAGCGCAGGGCCUUAGCCUUGUCGGUGGCCAUCGGCUGCGACCUCGGGGGAAAAGUUUUGGUGGAUCUGGAGUCUCUCUGGGUGAGAAGGAGAAGGGGGCAAUGAAAGCCCCGUGGUGGGCGCCAGCCUUUUUGUCAGACGAGGACGGUUGCCGAGGCAGCGUGGGGAAGCGGAGGCGCCCACGUCCCACCAAUUGCCACGCGUCGACCGAGGCCGCAGGCAGUUGCGGCCUGCGGCGCUCCGCACUUGCCCUUUGGCUUCGCCUCGAAGCCAAGGUUGAGCGCGCCUUGGGCCCGGGGGCUACUGUCAGCAUCCUAGGAACGGGGGUACCCAGACUUGCCUGCCUGCGACCCAUGGCGUGGCUCCACCAGCGGCCCAGUAUGGCCCAGCUCCGGCAGCAAGAACUCAAGACCCCCGCGAGAUAGACGACACCAAGACCUCCCUGGGGGCAGCCUCACUAGGUUGGCUCCCGAGAAGUGGAGAUAUCAAGGCAGGGUGCACCUCGCGAGGCUCGCAUGACGACCAAGGCCAGGCGGGCGCCAGCGGGCGCAGUGUACCAGUUUCCUCUUUGGUGCUAAGGAGGCAAGCGCAAGCGCGGGGUCCCGAGGCAUCAGACAAAGGUUUCCAUAUCGGUGCAACAAGACCAAGACCGCCCGGACGACAGGACGGAGGUCUUCGCGGAGCCCAUGGCAGCGUCACCACCAGAGCCUUUUGCAGGCGAAGACUACUUUUGUCAGGAUAGUUGUACUAGUUGUCUCCCUUCAAAUCUGGCCAUUGUGGGAUCCCUUCCCGCCUAACAUUUGGGAAGAGGACCAAGGCCACUAUAAAUAGGACUUAUCCUCCACCAUAGUGGAGGGAUCUCGAAUCGGGGAGAUCCGGAAUCGGGGCAAUUCUACCCUAACCACCUCACCAGCUCAUCGAGCUCAAGAACACCUCACCUCCGGAGGCUGUUCAUCCAUUUUACUAGUUCAUCCUCAGUCCCUCGAGGCAAUCCACCACAAAGCUGGAGUCGGGUAUUACACCGCAAGGUGGCCCGAACCAGGAUAAAUCUUUGUGUCUCUCGUUCUUUGGAUUCGUCGAGCUAGGCCGUGGGAUCUUAGUGAGCGAGCUGGGAAGAGAGUGUUCUUCGUGCGCACCCCAGAGUUUGAACCUCUCAAGGGUCUGUGGAACCCGUAAUCCGACAGAUUCAUCCUCCCCCUCAAAAUCAACGUUGAUGCAAUCUUCCUCUCCGCGCAGCUUUCUCCCCUCCUCCAUCCGAGCACACUUAUCUACCAGAGUGUAAAGCUCCUUCACAGUCUUGGGCAACCGCACGUUCAUCUUGGAACGGAUAUGACGGUUGCGCACAUUGGACUGGAAGGCAGCUAUUACAACUGCAGGAUGGAUAUUUGGGAUAUUUCUAUGAACUUUGCUAAAUCUUUGUAAAUACUUAUGGAGGGUUUCUCAUUCCUUCUGCUGGAGGAGCUGCAAAUCGUUGGGCCUGCCGGGUUCCUGAUGUCCGCCAGUGAAGGCUCCAAUGAACUCGUGGCACAGGUCGGCCCACGACGAAAUGGAGUUCUCCGGUAGGUGCAUCAGCCAAGACCUCACAUUGGACUUGAGGGCCAAAGGGAUGUAGUUGUUGAACACCUUCUCAUCUCUUCCCCCGGCAGCUUGAACAGCGAUGGUGUAGAUGCUCAGGAACUCUGCCGGGUUCAGCCUCCCAUCGUACUUCUCAGGUAUCUCUGGCUUGAACGUGCGAACGGACGGCCAAUGGACUUGCCGCAGCUCUCGUGUAAUGGCCGGACAGCCAACCUCGAAAGGUAGGCACCCGCCAACACCGAGUGUAGGCUUCUCGAAAUUGAGGCCGCCGUACCCGUCGGUCCAGCGGAGAUCGUCGCGGUGUUGCUCGACGACGCGUGCGUCUCCUCUCCGCCUAUCCUCUGGGGCUCGACAUUGGCCUGGACGUGCUUGAAGGUCAGAAGAGGCCAUCGAGACAUCUUCAUGGUCUUGAUUCGGUUGCGCUCGCGUGGGCUGCCGGGGCGGGGACCACACCGUGGGGACGGCCCCCUCCAUACGGUCAGUAGCAUGAGCCGUUGCUGUCGCUUGGGCAGGUCAUGGCGGGUCUGCUCGCCAUGAGCCCCUAGCUUCGGCGAAGACGAGCAGGCUUUGGAUGGUGGCAUGCCACUCGUCCAUCUGCUCGGCCAUUGGCGGAAAUCUCAACAGAAGUUGAGCCUACGCCAUGGCCUUCGAAGCCGUACUUGGCAGGGAUGAUGAUGAUGUCGAUCGUACCGCCGCCCGGCUCCUAGCGGUGCUAGUGGCGGUAAUACUGCGCCCUCGCUGCUGUUGCGGGGCGACCACCUGGACGUGGUGCGGCGAAGACGCAGGAGGUUUUGUGGCUCUAUCGGGGGCAGCGGCUGGGUCGGCCCGUCCCGGGGGAGGUGCACACGCUUCGACCGCACCCGUGGUGGGGGUGGCCGAAGGGCGGCGGUUCGCCCCGGUCCGAGCGCCGUUGCUGUGGCUGUGCCUAUCGGUGGGGGAGAGGGGCGCAGAUGGAGUAGCCCCCUCACCCACACCUUGGGGAGCGUGGCCGUCGGGGUGUUGUCGAUGCUGCUCUCCUGUGGUGCCUCCUGCUCCUGCCUCGGCCGCAAGAGAAGCGAUGACGGCCCGCCUGCUCCAACCACUCCCCCAGCAGCGUCCACGUCCUCGUGCACCUCCGCACUCCCCGCAGCAUUGGAGGCCACGGGCGGCGGAGCCUUCGAGGUGGAUGGGUGAGUCGAAGGACCAGGCUUCUUCUUGGGUGCCAUAGUCGAUGGCGUCGUCGAAGAUGGCGAUGGUGAUGAAGUCGACGCGCUGCGCACGCCUUCCGGUUCGCGCAAGCGCACCCCUACCUGGCGCGCCAAACAUGUCGGGGAGAACCACAAACACCUAUGGGACCGAGGAGGUCCCUUACAGGUUCGGUAGGGGGGUGACGUGUUGCACAAAGAGCAGACUAGUGUGGGACAGCGCGACGGAGAUCACAUAGGCAAUUUACCCAGGUUCGGGCCGCCGUGAGGCAUAAAACCCUACUCUUGCUUUGGUGGAUUGAUGGUGGAAAAGGUGGUGGCGAACGUAGUACACUUGCCCAGCAGGGGUUGCCUUGGCGCAGCAGUGGCUACAUGUGUAUGGGGGUGUGAGUUAUCCAAUCUUCUAACCCUUUCUAUGGUUGCCAUGGGCCUCCUUUUAUAGAUCGAGGGGUUACCACAGUGGCAAACUAGUCAUUAUGCACUGAUAAGAUAGCACACAGUGCUAUCAUACCUAAUUUUGUGGGCUGACGGGGCACAAUAAAUGCACCGCUUAGUGUCACUGUGCUGGUUACCUGGUAAGGCUUGCCGGGCUUUCUUGCCAGCUCCGCACUUGUUCUCUUGACACGUCGCGAGAUGGGUGUCAUCUGUGGGUUUCUCCUGUAGGAAAUGGCUGCCAUGUGGCGAAUGGCAGCCACAUAAUCGCUUUGCGGCUUGACAAUGCACUAACCGAUGACGUGGGUCAUGGUGGAGUGGUUGGUGAGGUGGUUUUUCCGCCACGAGCCCCGGCUGGCCCUGCCGGGGUGUCUUGGUUGUCUGCUUCUUGUGGCGGCCUUGCCCCUUGCAGGCUCGCCUGCCCGGCAAGGGAGGCCUUUUUCUUGGUCAUAUCCUACUUCCUUGGCUCAUUCUUGGUCCCUCUGAUCUGUAUGUUGGUCCUUCAAAUCUCUUGGCUUCUUGUACUCUGACUUGGGCUGGUGCUUCAAUCUUGUUCCCGUGCCUGUGCACAGUAUGGGCAACAGACCCAGGGUUUGUUGCACCGACAAGCCUUUUAUGUUUAUCUGCAGCUUAAGAUGCCGGGUCGUAAGGGCACUAUCACAGUACACGUCAACAAGAAUAUAGCUUUGGAGUGCGAAGAGGGCGAUGCUGCGUAUGAUGAGUCUGUUUUUGCAACAGAAGAGUAGAAAUUCUACAAGGACAAUGUUGACCCGGCAGAUAUGACACCUUUGAAAGAGCCAACCACAGAGCAUGAUCCCUUGUUGAAGUUUAAGUCGGCAGAUGACACUAAGCUGGUUGACUUUGUUCCUGGCGACUCAUCCAACCAGUUCAGUAUCAGUGCCAAUAUGGAUCCGAAACAGGAAAGCGCGCUCAUCGAGUUCAUCCGUGAGAACCGGGACAUCUUUGCAUGGAAGCUUUCAGACAUGCCAGGUGUACCAAUGGAACUUGUUGAGCACACUCUCAAUGUUGAUCCAAAGUUUAAACCGGUCAAGCAAUUCCUUCGUCGUUUUAAUGAAGAGAGGUGUAAGGCCAUUGGUGAAGAAAUAGCCCGGCUCUUGGCGGAUGGGUUUAUUAUUGAAGUUUUUCAUCCUGAGUGGUUGGCUAACCCGGUGCUGGUACUUAAGAAGAAUGACUCUUGGCAUAUGUUUGUGGAUUAUACAGACCUUAACAAGGCCUGUCCGGCCAAUCCUUUUGCUCUCCCUCAUAUUGAUCAGAUCAUUGAUGCUAUGGCGGGUUGUGAGCGUUUGAGUUUUCUGGAUGCUUAUUCUGGUUAUCAUCAGAUCAAGAUGGAAGUUAAGGACCAGGAGAUGACAGCUUUCAUCACCCCCUUUGGAGCCUUCUGCUAUGUGUCUAUGCCUUUUGGGCUCAAGAGUGCCCAAGGGACUUAUCAGCGGUGUGUUCAGAAUUUCCUUCAUGAUCAGAUUGGACGCAAUGUUCAUGCUUAUGUGGAUGAUAUUGUUGUGAAAUGCAGGAAGAAGGAGACCUUGAUAGAUGAUUUGAAAGAGACCUGUGACAAUCUCUGGGUCUACAAAAUGAUGCUUAACUCGGCCAAGUGUGUCUUUGGUGUGCCAGCAGGCAAGCUCUUGGGUUUUUUGGUUUCUGAAAGAGGCAUUGAAGCUUACCCGGAGAAAAUCAAGGCUAUCACUUCUUUGGCUAAACCGGCGUGUAUUAAUGACGUCCAGCGUCUGGCGGGUCGUAUUGCAGCUUUAAGACGGUUGGGCGAGAAGGCUAUCCCUUUUUAUCAGAUGACGAGGAAAACAGAUCACUUUGUAUGGAGUGAUGCUGCUAAUCAGGCUUUUGAGGCAUUGAAAAAGCAGUUGGCUGAGCCGCCAAUCCUUGCAUCUCCCAUUGAUAAGGAGUCCUUACUGUUAUAUGUGGCUGCUAACAGUAGAGCCGUUAGUGUGGCAGUUGUUGUGGAAAGAAAGGAAUCAAGCAAGGAACAUCCGGUUCAAAGGCCGGUUUGUUAUGUAAGUGAGGUACUCAUUGAAUCCAAGCAGAGAUACCCACAUUGGCAGAAACUGGUUUACGGCGUCUUCAUAGCUAGUCGUAAGUUGAAGCAAUAUUUCCUCAGUCACCCCAUCACUGUGGUUAGUUCUGCUCCUUUGGGGGAUAUUAUUCAAAACAGAGAAGCCAUCGGCCGGGUGGCCAAAUGGGCCAUUGAGCUUGGACCCCAUGGUUUGAAAUACAUGCCUCAGACAACUAUCAAGUCUCAAGCACUUGUGAUUUUAUUAAUGAUUGGACAGAGCUGCAGAUGCCUGAGGAGAAGCCUGAUAACUCAUAUUGGACUAUUCAUUUUCAUGGAUCCAGGCAGUUAGAAGACUCGGGGGCUGGAAUUAUUUUGACUUCCCCACGAGGUGAUAAAUUUUGUUAUGUCUUAAGGUUGAUGUUCCCUUGUACUAACAAUGCAGCUGAGUAUCAAGCCUUGCUCCAUGGUCUUCGGAUGGAUAAAGAGAUGAAUCUAAGCCUAGUGAGGUGUUUUGGCGACUCAAAUUUGGUGGCUCGGCAAGUUUCAAGAACUUGGGAUUCCAAAGAUCUACUCAUGGCGGCUUAUCGCCGAGAGGUUGAUGCUAUCACUGGUCAUUUCAAGGGCUAUCAAGUGGAGCAUGUUGAUCGCAGGAAAAAUGAGGCGGCUGAUGCUUUAAGCCGGCUAGGGUCCCAGCGUAAGCCGGUACCACCUAAUGUUUUCCUUGAUAUUUUGCAUAACCCUUGAGGUAAUUUGCCUACGGAGGAGGAUCUUGCUAUCCCUGACCCGGAGGCACAGUUGGUGGCGGCUCUUCAUGCUAUUCCUGAUUGGAAAGUUCCAUAUUUGGCUUACAUGACCCGGGGUGAGUUACCUGAAGAUGAAACUUUAGCCAGGCAGAUAACCCGGCGGUCUACUAUUUUCAGUGGAGAGUUGCACCGAUGCAGUGUCACAUGGGCGUUUCAGCAUUGUGUUUCUCCUGAGGAGGGCCGUGAGACUCUACGAGAGAUUCAUGAAGGAGAUUGUGGCCAUCAUGCCGGCUCUAAGUCUCUUGUGGCUAAGGCUUUUCAUCAUGGGUUCUACUGGCUGACGGCUCAUGCUGAUGCAAAGGAUCUGGUUAGUAAAUGUGAUGGAUGUCAGAAAUUUUCCGGACGAGCUCAUGUGCCGGCUCAAGAAUUAAGGAUGAUUCCAAUUACUUGGCCAUUUGGAGUCAGGGGGCUGGAUAUGGUUGGGCCUUUUAAAAGGUCUAAGGACAAAAAGACUCACCUCUUGGUGACAGUUGACAAGUUCACAAAGUGGGUUGAGGUAGAGCCGGUCAGCAAGUGUGACGCGGCAACGACGGUUCAGUUCAUCAAAAAGGUGAUUUUCUGUUUUGGCUACCCUCACAGCAUCAUAACUGAUAAUGGUACUAAUCUAUCCAAAGGUGCUAUGAAAGAAUUUUGUCAACCUGAACAUAUUCGUCUUGAUGUUUCAUCUGUGGCCCACCCCCAGUCCAAUGGUCAAGCUGAAAGAGCCAAUCAAGAAAUUUUGAGAGGCAUAAAACCCUGGCUUAUGGUCCCUUUGCAGAGGACGCCGGGUUGUUUGGUUGAGGAGUUACCUUCAGUGCUUUGGAGUAUAAAUACUACUCCCAACAGAUCCAUGGGUUAUACGCCUUUCUUCAUGGUUUACGGAGUAGAGUUGGUUCUUCCCAGUGAUAUCCGUCAUGACUAGCCCUGCGUGGCGGCUUAUGUUGAAGCUGAUAAUGAAAAGGCACGUCAGGAUGCUCUUGACCUCUUGGACGAGGAGCGUGACCUUGCGGUGGCUCGUUCAGCAAUCUACCAGCAAGAUCUGCACUGAUAUCAUAGUCGCCGGGUUAAAACCCGGACCUUUCAAGAAGGUGACCUGGUGCUCCGGCUCAGCCAAGAUCAAACGGAUAUGCAAAAGUUUUCCCCACCUUGGGAAGGGCCUUUUGUGGUUAGCAAAAAUCUGAACAACGGAUCAUACUACCUCAUCGAUGUUCAAGACCACAAGGACUCACGCAUGUCGGAGGAGGAGACCCGUCGGCCGUGGAAUAUUGCUCAUCUUUGGCCUUAUUACACCUGAGCCACCGGCUCUUGUGAUGUACAUACUUCUACCAAUGUAUAUAUUAUGAUUAGUAUAAUAAAGCCGACAUCCCUGAUAAUUCAGGGCCUCUGUCGUUUCAUUUCUGAGUAUCUGAGUCUUUAUUGUCAAUUCAUAAGAUCACUUGGGGGCUCCUGCUCACUAAGCAUAGCUAUGACUGCCCUUUGAUCCGGCUUGCACGCCUUGUUAUAAAUAAACAUGGGGGCUUCCUGCUCACUGAGCAUAGCUAUGACUACCCUUUGAUCCGGCUUAUACGCCUUGAUUGAAAUGACUUGGGGGCUUUCUGCCUGAGUUAAACGGUCACCAAAGAGAACUUGCUACACUGUGCAGUUCAAACAUAGGUAACCUCCUUUGAUGGCUUAUUAAUAGAUCGCUUGGGGGCUUCCCAUUCAAUGAACAUAGCUACAUAUUUACCCUUUUGAUCGGCUUGGACGCCAGGUGUAUUCACCAAAACUCAGGGUUAUCCUGGCUUUGUAAGUCUGCCACUCCGACCAGGUAAUCCUGGAAUGACCCGUCGUACUCUUGACAGUCAAUCUUUUUAAAGACCCUGAACUUGUCAAAGUUAAAACGGCGGUUGGAUCAUGUGUGGCCAGGCUUACAGGUUUGAAUAAAGGAUUAACUCAGUGGCUGUGUGUCCCUUGAAUAGCACUUGAUAUUGAGGUGUGGCAGCCUAUGAAGGCCUUGGUUUUUCUGGUUUGUUGUUUCAUUUGAACAUUAUUUGAGUUCAUAUUCUUUGUACCAUAUUGACAUAUGGUUUAAAACGAUUCAGGCCAUGUAUCCUUAAUCCUUAUGUUUCAUUUUUUUAGCGUAUCUGAGGUUUUUGAUAACCGGGCUUGGCUUUGGACGAUACGUCGCCAGUGUGCUUUGAUUAUGCACUUGGAGUUCUGCAGUCUAAAGUUUUCUGGGCUAUUACCCUUGCUGCAUAUGGCGUGGUAAGCCGACAGUAUGAACGAAUAUAACUGGUAUGUUAUUUGUUUAAUCUAUGAAUAUGCGAGGUUUUGAUAACCCACCCUGGUUGUGGACUAUACAGUCACCAGCGGCUUUUAUGUUGAACAUCAUGACCCACCCUGGGGUAAACCGCCAAGGCAUAUGUUAUCUGCUUGUGUGCAGGGAGUAUGAUGAAUAUGACUCAUCUGACUGAUAAAAUUAUGAGCACAAACGACAGAUCUUUCCAUAUCAAGAUCGGUGGUUUAAAGUGUUAUGAAAGAUAAACAUGCGCAAUGGCAUGGCAUAUCAUUGUUUUUACUAGCCUAUUACAUGGCUACUCGAGCCCAAAUGAUUCAGCAUUUUUCAAGCAAAGUACGGUAAUGCAGAUUAAGAACCGCCCCAUGGAUCAAGUCUCCUAGUCUUGGCGCGUUGCGGCUUCCAGGUCAUCCUGCGCCGGUUCUUCUUCUUCUUCCGUUGUCUGGAAGUUAGGCGAUGACCAAUCGAUGCUAGUCAAGGCUUGAAACUCAGCUUCAUCAUCAAUAACUUCAGACGGAUCAAUUUCAGGAGCAAAAGUAUGCUUGCGGAUUGGAGGGACAAGAUCCGCAACAUCGUAAGCCGGCGUCUUCAUCUUUGAAUUAUCUGCUGCCUGAUAUCUCGCCUGGUCAGUUUCUUCGGCGAGUUUACUCGCAAGUGGACGCAUCUCUUUCACACAAGCAGCAAAGUCCUUCUGAUCAAAAGGAGACUUGUCCUCUUUGAAACUGAGGCAGCCAGUUGCCAGCUCGGCCAGGUCUAAUUCUGCCUGCCAUGCCUUUGCCCGACUCAAGGCCGUAAUGGCACCAACUCUUGUAGCAGACCGCUUAAUUUCUUCAAUUCUUGCGGGCAGGACAGAAAGCUUGUUUAAAACAUCCCCGAUAAGAGAUGGUUCUUGCUUGGUGUGCGAUAUGGUGACUAUUGUGCGCUGAGCACCUGUAUAUAAUUGCUCCACUAGCGUGUAAACCACCUUGGCCAAGAUUGGUACUCCUGCGGCCUGUUCAACAAAAUACACAGUUAAGUCACUAGGCGGCUUACAAAGUUUAGAUAAACAGGAAACUUAAGAUUAAGAUGCUCCGGAAUGGAAACGAGGGAAUGUCCACAAUACCCGGAUUUAGUCAGAUCCAAUUCGAGGGAUUUUGUAGGUUCAUUAAUCAAGCCUUAGCAGAAGAACUUGACAAGUUUCCAACAAUUAAAGAUCCAGAUCACGAAAUUGCAUUUCAAUUAUUUGCGAAAGGAUAUCAAUUGCUAGAACCCUCGAUAAAAGAAAGAGAUGCUGUGUAUGAAUCACUCACCUAUUCUUCCGAAUUAUAUGUAUCUGCGAGAAUGAAAGAUGUACAAUCCAAUUUCUCGAUUCAAUAGAAGCCCAAAGAGGUGCAUAUGGUACCCAAAUAAGAAUAGGAUAGAUAUGUCAAAAGCAGGUCUGAUUACACCUAUUCCUAAUCCUAAAUAGAAUGUAAGGACGUAGGGAUUUCUAUGUAAACAGAGUAUCCUAUUUCCAUAGGCUCGAAUGACCCCUUCUCAUAAUAAGAAUGUGCACGGUCUGGUUCGGUAUGGAAUGAACUUAUAAUCUGAUGAUCGAGUCGACUCCAUGAUUAUAAGUUCAUAACCCUAGCGCCCAUUCCCAUUUUGGGCGGAACAGAUCUACUAAUUCUUUUAUUCCAGUUAGUAAGAGGGAUCUUGAACUAAGAAAUAGACCUAGCAGCUAAAAGAGGGUAUCCUGAGCAAUUGCAAGAAUGGGGUUCAUUGAUAUUCCUGGUAUAGUAGAUGCUAUCACACAUACAGUCAUCAAAUCGUUCGUUCGUUAGGAUGCCUCAGCUGCAUACAUCACUGCACUUCCACUUGACACCUAUUUAAACGGCUCGUCUCGCCUCUACCUUAUCCUAUUUCCAUACUUCUGUCGCUCCAUCCCCGUAUGGGUGGAGAACCCGUCGCUGUCUCGGCUGUGAUACCGGAGGCUCUAGGGAAGUCGGAGGAGAGAGCACUCAUCUUGGGGUGGGCUUACUACUUAUAUGCUUUCAGCAGUUAUCCUCUCCGCACUUGGCUACCCAGCGUUUACCGUAGGCACGAUAACUGGUACACCAGAGGUGCGUCCUUUCCGGUCCUCUCGUUAUCAUUUCCAACUGGAGGAUCCCUUAAUCCAAUUAAAGGAGGAUUAUAAAUGGAUAGAUGUCUUCGAUUUCCACUGGAGAUUGGGAAUCGAUGGACUUUCAUUAGGAUCUAUUUUAUUGACAGGAUUUAUCACUACUUUAGCUACUUUAGCAGCUUGGCCAAUUACACGGAAUUCGCGAUUAUUCUAUUUCCUGAUGCUCGUAAUGUAUAGUGGUCAAAUAGGAUUAUUUUCUUCGCGAGACCUUUUACUUUUUUUUAUCAUGUGGGAGUUAGAAUUAAUUCCUGUUUACUUACUUUUAUCCAUGUGGGGGGGGAAGAGGCGUCUAUAUUCAGCUACAAAGUUUAUUUUGUAUACUGCAGGCGGUUCCAUUUUUUUCUUAAUCGGAGUUCUGGGUAUGGGCUUAUAUGGUUCCAACGAACCAGGAUUAGAUUUGGAAAGAUUAAUUAAUCAAUCAUACCCUGCAACCUUGGAAAUACUUUUAUAUUUUGGCUUCCUUAUUGCUUAUGCUGUCAAAUUGCCGAUUAUACCCCUACAUACGUGGUUACCAGAUACCCAUGGGGAAGCACAUUAUAGUACAUGUAUGCUUUUAGCGGGAAUAUUAUUAAAGAUGGGAGCAUAUGGAUUGAUUCGGAUCAACAUGGAAUUGUUACCUCAUGCUCAUUAUCUAUUUUCGCCCUGGUUAGUAAUAAUAGGAGCGAUCCAAAUAAUCUAUGCAGCUUCAACUUCUCUUGGUCAACGAAAUUUCAAAAAAAGAAUAGCUUAUUCCUCUGUAUCUCACAUGGGUUUCAUAAUUAUAGGAAUUGAUUCCUGUUUACUUACUUUUAUCCAUGUGGGGGGGGAAGAGGCGUCUAUAUUCAGCUACAAAGUUUAUUUUGUAUACUGCAGGCGGUUCCAUUUUUUUCUUAAUCGGAGUUCUGGGUAUGGGCUUAUAUGGUUCCAACGAACCAGGAUUAGAUUUGGAAAGAUUAAUUAAUCAAUCAUACCCUGCAACCUUGGAAAUACUUUUAUAUUUUGGCUUCCUUAUUGCUUAUGCUGUCAAAUUGCCGAUUAUACCCCUACAUACGUGGUUACCAGAUACCCAUGGGGAAGCACAUUAUAGUACAUGUAUGCUUUUAGCGGGAAUAUUAUUAAAGAUGGGAGCAUAUGGAUUGAUUCGGAUCAACAUGGAAUUGUUACCUCAUGCUCAUUAUCUAUUUUCGCCCUGGUUAGUAAUAAUAGGAGCGAUCCAAAUAAUCUAUGCAGCUUCAACUUCUCUUGGUCAACGAAAUUUCAAAAAAAGAAUAGCUUAUUCCUCUGUAUCUCACAUGGGUUUCAUAAUUAUAGGAAUUGGUUCCAUAACCAACAUUGGACUCAAUGGAGCUAUUUUACAAAUAUUAUCCCAUGGAUUUAUUGGUGCUACACUUUUUUUCUUAAUCGGAGUUCUGGGUAUGGGCUUAUAUGGUUCCAACGAACCAGGAUUAGAUUUGGAAAGAUUAAUUAAUCAAUCAUACCCUGCAACCUUGGAAAUACUUUUAUAUUUUGGCUUCCUUAUUGCUUAUGCUGUCAAAUUGCCGAUUAUACCCCUACAUACGUGGUUACCAGAUACCCAUGGGGAAGCACAUUAUAGUACAUGUAUGCUUUUAGCGGGAAUAUUAUUAAAGAUGGGAGCAUAUGGAUUGAUUCGGAUCAACAUGGAAUUGUUACCUCAUGCUCAUUAUCUAUUUUCGCCCUGGUUAGUAAUAAUAGGAGCGAUCCAA
rnacentral:lncRNA from 1 species